AGCAAACAGGAUUAGAUACCCUGGUAGUCCACGCUGUAAACGAUGAGUACUAGGUGUCGGGGGUUACCCCCUUCGGUGCCGCAGCUAACGCAUUAAGUACUCCGCCUGGGAAGUACGCUCGCAAGAGGGAAACUCAAAGGAAUUGACGGGGACCCGCACAAGUAGCGGAGCAUGUGGUUUAAUUCGAAGCAACGCGAAGAACCUUACCUAAGCUUGACAUCCCAAUGACAUCUCCUUAAUCGGAGA
rnacentral:rRNA from 1 species